rnacentral:rRNA from 1 species
GUAGGGUGCGAGCGUUAAUCGGAAUUACUGGGGGCGUAAAGCGUGCGCAGGCGGUUGUGCAAGACAGAUGUGAAAUCCCCCGGGGCUCAACCUGGGGAAUUGCAUUUGUGACUGCACGGCUAGAGUGUGUCAGAGGGGGGUAGAAUUCCACGUGUAGCAGUGAAAUGCGUAGAGAUGUGGAGGAAUACCGAUGGCGAAGGCAGCCCCCUGGGAUAACACUGACGCUCAUGCACGAAAGCGUGGGGAGCAAACAGGAUUAGAUACCCUGGUAGUCCACGCCCUAAACGAUGUCAACUAGUUGUCGGGUCUUAAUUGACUUGGUAACGCAGCUAACGCGUGAAGUUGACCGCCUGGGGAGUACGGUCGCAAGAUUA